rnacentral:rRNA from 1 species
AUGGGGUGGAGCAACGUGAUUGAGGGAGAGCAAAGCGGGAGAAAACAACACAACAGUGCAUUUGUUGCGGACACGGACUUUGGCAGCCAUUCAAUGACCCACCAGACACUCAUCUCUUCCGCCCCUGCUGCCGCUGCCUUUUCCUCUGCUCCUCACCUCCUCCACGCCUCCCUCCCUACCCUUUCCCCCUCCUACUCCUCUGCAGCCGCCUCCGCCAUGUCGUCGUCGUUCGCGCACCACCACGGCUCCCUGCAGGCGGAGAGGAUGUCCGCGCUGAGGAGUAGCCUCAGGCCGUGCGAGGCAGCCGAGGAGGUGGCGGCCGCCGUGGUCGCUGGGCCGGCGCCGUGGGGAGCCGGGCUGCUGGGUGACGGCUUCUCGGUGGAGGAGCUCCUAGACCUUGAGGAGCUCUGCGAGGUGGACAAGGAAGGCGGCUUCCUCUGCGAGACGGCGCCGGCCGCCGAGGAGGACGAAAAGUGCAGUGACUCCCACGGGUCGUCGGCGGUCUCCUACGAGCUCAUGCCGCUUAUUCCGCCGGAGAUGGACCUGCCGGCCCACGACGCGGAGGAACUGGAGUGGGUGUCGGGUAUCAUGGACGACUCGCAAGCAGAGCUCCCGCCGCCGCCGCAGCUCCCAGCGCCAGCGGCGUGGCCACCGCAGCACCGCCAGCCGCAGGAAAGCACCGUGCCGGCCGUGGACCCUAUGCGGACCCCGACCAUAUGCGCGCUUUCCACGGAAGCGCUGGUGCCGGUGAGGUCCAAGAAGCGCAGCAAGCGCUCGCGCGGCACCACCGUAUGGUCGCUCUCCGGCGCGUCCAUAUCCGACUCGGCGUCGUCGUCCGCCACCAGCUCCUCCUGCUCCUCGUCGGCCUCCCUGUCGUCCUUCUUCCUGAUGGACUCCCCCACCUUCAACCUCCUGGACGAACCGCCACGCACCAAGAGCAAGAGCAAGAAGUCGAAGCACAAGGCCAAGAAGCGCGGGCGCAAGCCAAAGAGCCACCUCCCGCCGCAGCUGUCGGGCGGCGCCGCCUCCCCGCCCGGGCAGGGCGACCGGCGCUGCAGCCACUGCGGCGUGCAGAAGACGCCCCAGUGGCGCGCGGGGCCAGAGGGCGCCAAGACGCUGUGCAACGCCUGCGGCGUCCGCUUCAAGUCGGGGCGGCUCCUCCCGGAGUACCGGCCGGCGUGCAGCCCCACGUUCGUGGGCAACCUGCACUCCAACUCCCACCGCAAGGUGCUGGAGAUGCGCCGCAAGAAGGACCCCGUCCCCGUCGUCAUCGAGGCCGCAGCCGCGCCGGCCGUGGCCUCGUUCUAG